AAACUUAAAUGAAUUGGCGGGGGAGCACCACAACAGGUGGAGCCUGCGGUUUAAUUGGACUCAACGCCGGAAAUCUCACCGGAUAAGACAGCUGAAUGAUUGUCGGGCUGAAGACUCUACAUGACUAGCUGAGAGGAGGUGCAUGGCCGUCGUCAGUUCGUACUGUGAAGCAUCCUGUUAAGUCAGGCAACGAGCGAGACCCACGCCAACAGUUGCCAGCAUGGCCUCCGGGCUGAUGGGGACACUGUUGGGACCGCCUCUGCUAAAGAGGAGGAAGGAAUGGGCAACGGUAGGUCAGCAUGCCCCGAAUUAUCCGGGCUACACGCGGGCUACAAUGGGCAGGACAAUGGGUAUCGACACCGAAAGGUGAAGGCAAUCUCUUAAACCUGUCCGUAGUUCGGAUUGUGGGCUGUAACUCGCCCACAUGAAGCUGGAAUCUGUAGUAAUCGCGUUUCAACAUAACGCGGUGAAUGUGUCCCUGCUCCUUGCACACACCGCCCGU
rnacentral:rRNA from 1 species